rnacentral:rRNA from 3 species
GACUCUCGGCAACGGAUAUCUCGGCUCUCGCAUCGAUGAAGAACGUAGCGAAAUGCGAUACUUGGUGUGAAUUGCAGAAUCCCGCGAACCAUCGAGUCUUUGAACGCAAGUUGCGCCCGAAGCCAUCAGGCCGAGGGCACGUCUGCCUGGGCGUCA